UACGGGGGGAGCAAGCGUUGUUCGGAAUCACUGGGCGUAAAGGGAGCGUAGGCGGGUUUUUAAGUCAGGUGUUUAAUCCCGGGGCCCAACCCCGGACAGGCACUUGAAACUGGGAAUCUUGAAUAGUGGAGAGGUCAGUGGAAUUGGGGGUGUAGCGGGUGGAAUGCGUAGAGAUCCCCAAGAACACCCGUUGCGAAGGCGGCUGACUGGACACAUAUUGACGCUGAGGCUCGAAAGCAUGGGGAGCAAACAGG
rnacentral:rRNA from 1 species